rnacentral:rRNA from 1 species
UACAGAGGGGGCAAGCGUUGUUCGGAAUUACUGGGCGUAAAGGGCGCGUAGGCGGCCUUCUAAGUCGAACGUGAAAUCCCCGGGCUCAACCCGGGAACUGCGUCCGAUACUGGAAGGCUUGAAUCCGGGAGAGGGAUGCGGAAUUCCAGGUGUAGCGGUGAAAUGCGUAGAUAUCCGGAGGAACACCGGUGGCGAAGGCGGCAUCCUGGACCAACACUGACGCUGAGGAGCGAAAGCCAGGGGAGCAAACGGG